GGGCCAGUAGCUCAAUUGGUAGAGCUGUGGUCUCCAAAACCACAUGUUCGAGGUUCAAUUCCUCGCUGACCUGCCA
rnacentral:tRNA from 1 species